AAUAUUUUCAUUUUUGGUUAAUUUUAGUUUUCUUUCAAAUUUGGUUUGGUUGGAUUAAUAUUUUUAGAGUUGAUUAACAAUUCAAUUAGUUGAAAAUUCGGUUUGGUUCGGUUAACCGGAUACCCACCCUUAGUUUUCUGUGCAUUGUAAAUGUAUUCUUGUCCAUAAAUUAGCUUUUCAAUUAUAGUGAAUUUUGUCCAUUGGUAAUAGAUCCUGCUUUUGUUACUCUAUAUCAUGAAAAUCUCUUUGAGUGGGUUAGUCAAAUUGACCCAGAAACUUGAGAUUUGCAUAUUACAUUGC
rnacentral:misc_RNA from 1 species